ACAGGAAAAAUUGACGCAAGUUCACAAGGCAUAGGACGUUUAAAGCACGUAGUGGCUAAAGGACGAUCUAUAUUUAAAUCUCGGGAAUGAGGAAACUUGAAAUUUAAUCUCAUAGCAUAUUUAGUAUAUAUAGAGGCUGUAAAAGCUGUUUCGAUACGCAUUUUCUUUCGCUUUCAUACUCUUUUGAGACGCAUUUGAAUCGCAUUUAACUGACGCAUUGGACACGCAUUUGUUGGUGUUUGUUUACAUUUACGCGAUUUGGCAAGAAGAUGUCAAAUAUGUGGAAAUACCAUUUCUUCCUUCUCACCACUGUCGCAGUUACCAUGGUAAUGACGUCAGCGUAUAAUCUUCCACGACUUUGUAACCAUAAAAUCAACCCAAGUUGUUCAAUGUGUUGCCUACUAGCAUUCAGAAGCUGCAGACGUUCUUGUUCUUUGGUCUCGACAAGUUGUGAUUGUUCUAUAAGCGACAGCAAUACGAAUUACAUGGCCUUUUUCAAUAGUAAACGCUGUGGUAGUAAAUGUUUCACUUCCAAAACACAUUGAGAUUGAAAAAAGCGACACAAGGUAUAAUAAAAAGGUGAAGGAUUAUUAAACAUUGAAUAAUUUUUUACAGGCCAAUUGCACUAUGCUUGGCUUCGGCUUUUUUUAAUAUUGAAUAAUAAAUUGUAGCUGUAAUAUUGACUAGUUUUGACAUUUUGUAUGUAUCUAAUUUUAGAGAAGCAUUAAGAAAUAAAGUAAAAUAAACACA